AAGCAACUCUGUGUCAGAUGAUCAAAACUCUGGCACAAUUUCUGCUUGCUAUAGCAAGAAAGUCUAACCUAUUCCCAUGUUCACUGUUCCGUGAGACAAGCCGUUAUAAAGGCUUAAACAGA
rnacentral:snoRNA from 1 species